rnacentral:rRNA from 1 species
GAUGAACGCUAGCUACGGGCUUAACACAUGCAAGUCGAGGGGCAGCAUGGUCUUAGCUUGCUAAGGCCGAUGGCGACCGGCCCACGGGGGAGUGAGACGUAUCCAACCUGCCGUCUACUCUUGGACAGCCUUCUGAAAGGAAGAUUAAUACAAGAUGGCUUCCUGAGUCCACAUGUUCACCUGAUUAAAGGUAUUCCGGUAGACGAUGGGGAUGCGUUCCUUUAGAUAGUAGGCGGGGUAACGGCCCACCUAGUCUUCGAUGGAUAGGGGUUCUGAGAGGAAGGUCCCCCACAUUGGAACUGAUACACGGUCCAAACUCCUACGGGAGGCAGCAGUGAGGAAUAUUGGUCAAUGGGCGAGAGCCUGAACCAGCCAAGUAGCGUGAAGGAUGACUGCCCUAUGGGUUGUAAACUUCUUUUAUAAAGGAAUAAACUCGGGUAUGCAUACCCGUUUGCAUGUACUUUAUGAAUAAGGAUCGGCUAACUCCGUGCCAGCAGCCGCGGUAAUACGGAGGAUCCGAGCGUUAUCCGGAUUUAUUGGGUUUAAAGGGAGCGUAGAUGGAUGUUUAAGUCAGUUGUGAAAGUUUGCGGCUCAACCGUAAAAUUGCAGUUGAUACUGGAUAUCUUGAGUGCAGUUGAGGCAGGCGGAAUUCGUGGUGUAGCGGUGAAAUGCUUAGAUAUCACGAAGAACUCCGAUUGCGAAGGCAGCCUGCUAAGCUGCAACUGACAUUGAGGCUCGAAAGUGUGGGUAUCAAACAGGAUUAGAUACCCUGGUAGUCCACACGGUAAACGAUGAAUACUCGCUGUUUGCGAUAUACAGCAAGCGGCCAAGCGAAAGCGUUAAGUAUUCCACCUGGGGAGUACGCCGGCAACGGUGAAACUCAAAGGAAUUGACGGGGGCCCGCACAAGCGGAGGAACAUGUGGUUUAAUUCGAUGAUACGCGAGGAACCUUACCCGGGCUUAAAUUGCAGAUGAAUUACGGUGAAAGCCGUAAGCCGCAAGGCAUCUGUGAAGGUGCUGCAUGGUUGUCGUCAGCUCGUGCCGUGAGGUGUCGGCUUAAGUGCCAUAACGAGCGCAACCCUUGUUGUCAGUUACUAACAGGUUCCGCUGAGGACUCUGACAAGACUGCCAUCGUAAGAUGUGAGGAAGGUGGGGAUGACGUCAAAUCAGCACGGCCCUUACGUCCGGGGCUACACACGUGUUACAAUGGGGGGUACAGAGGGCCGCUACCACGCGAGUGGAUGCCAAUCCCCAAAACCUCUCUCAGUUCGGACUGGAGUCUGCAACCCGACUCCACGAAGCUGGAUUCGCUAGUAAUCGCGCAUCAGCCACGGCGCGGUGAAUACGUUCCCGGGCCU